GAUGAACGCUGGCGGCGUGCCUAACACAUGCAAGUCGAACGGUGAAGCGCCUUCCUUUUUGGUGGGUGGGGAUGAGCGGCGAACGGGGGAGUAACACGUGAGUAACCUGCCCCCUUCUUCUGGAUAACCGCAUGAAAGUGUGGCUAAUACGGGAUAUUCUGGGCCUGUUGCAUGAUGGGUCUGGGGAAGAUUUCGUUUCGGUUGGGGAUGGGCUCGCGGCCUAUCAGCUUGUUGGUGGGGUGACGGCCUACCAAGGCGGUGAGGAGUAGCCGGCCUGGGAGGGUGGGCGGUCCCGGAGGGGCGACACCGCCCAGACGACUACGGGAGGAGGCAGCAGGGGAUAUUAGGGAACGGUGGGAAGCAUGCUGAAGCAGCGACGCGGCGUGGAGGAAGGAGUCCUUCGGGUUGUGAACUUCUUUCGGGAGUGAAGCAAGCCUGCCUCGUUUGUGGGUGGGUUGACGGUAGCUGAAGAAGAAGCGCCGGCUAACUACGUG
rnacentral:rRNA from 1 species